rnacentral:rRNA from 1 species
GUGAACGCUUGCAGUAUGCUUAACACAUGCUAGUUUUUAAGUUUUUAAAACUUGGCGCACAGGUGAGUAAGAACUUUAUGUUUACCUUAAAUUUAAAAAUAAUUAGCACUAUUAUAAAAUAGUAAAUUUAAUAAUAUUCAAGGUAGAACACCUAUUUAAGAUAACUUAAGUAUAGUAUUAAGUUGUUGGUGGGGUAGUGGCUUACCAAGCUGAUGAUUCUUAACUGGUUAGAGAUAAUGUACCAGUCACAUUGGAACUGAGAUAAUGUCCAAGCCUAAGCCAGCAGUGCGGAAUAUUGGACAAUGAGCGUUGCUUGAUCCAGCAAUACUGCUUAAAUGAGGACAAUGUAAAAGAUAUAAAAAGUAAUGAAUUUUAUAUCGUUUGUAAAGUUUUAGCUUUAAAAAAUGAUAAUGACGUUUUUUAAAAAAAAGCCCCGGCUAACCUCGU